AUUGAACGCUGGCGGCAUGCCUUACACAUGCAAGUCGAACGGUAACAGGUCUUCGGAUGCUGACGAGUGGCGAACGGGUGAGUAAUACAUCGGAACGUGCCUAGUAGUGGGGGAUAACUACUCGAAAGAGUGGCUAAUACCGCAUGAGAUCUACGGAUGAAAGCAGGGGAUCGCAAGACCAUGUGCUACUAGAGCGGCCGAUGGCAGAUUAGGUAGUUGGUGGGAUAAAAGCUUACCAAGCCGACGAUCUGUAGCUGGUCUGAGAGGACGACCAGCCACACUGGGACUGAGACACGGCCCAGACUCCUACGGGAGGCAGCAGUGGGGAAUUUUGGACAAUGGGCGCAAGCCUGAUCCAGCAAUGCCGCGUGCAGGAAGAAGGCCUUCGGGUUGUAAACUGCUUUUGUACGGAGCGAAAAGGCUCUCUCUAAUACAGGGGGCUGAUGACGGUACCGUAAGAAUAAGCACCGGCUAACUACGUGCCAGCCGCCGCCGUAA
rnacentral:rRNA from 1 species